rnacentral:rRNA from 1 species
GAGAGUUUGAUUAUGGCUCAGGAUGAACGCUAGCGACAGGCUUAACACAUGCAAGUCGAGGGGCAUCACGGGAGUAGCAAUACAACUGGUGGCGACCGGCGCACGGGUGAGUAACGCGUAUGCAACCUACCUAUCAGAGGGGAAUAACCCGGCGAAAGUCGGACUAAUACCGCAUAAAACAGGGGGCACCGCAUGGUGAUAUUUGUUAAAGAAAUUCGCUGAUAGAUGGGCAUGCGUUCCAUUAGGUAGUUGGUGAGGUAACGGCUCACCAAGCCGACGAUGGAUAGGGGAACUGAGAGGUUGGUCCCCCACACUGGUACUGAGACACGGACCAGACUCCUACGGGAGGCAGCAGUGAGGAAUAUUGGUCAAUGGGCGGGAGCCUGAACCAGCCAAGUCGCGUGAAGGAAAGAAGGAUCUAUGGUUCGUAAACUUCUUUUGCAGGGGAAUAAAGUGCAGGACGUGUCCUGUUUUGUAUGUACCCUGAGAAUAAGGAUCGGCUAACUCCGUGCCAGCAGCUGC